UGUCUCGCGAGAGUUGGCAACAGUGGUGGGAGGAGAAGGAAGUUUAAUUUAGGGGUUUCCUGUUAUGUUUAGUCGGUAAAUGAGGUCGCACAUAAACUGAUCAGUCAGGAAUCGUAUAAACGUGAGCUUCAUAUUUCUGUGAGAUAUGGCCUCUUCAAUGACUACUGAGGACAAUGGGGUGAGGGUAGUGACUCAUAUUAUCCCGCUGGAGGAAAAAACAGAGUCUCCAGACCUAAAGUCAAGCUCGGUCGAACUAGACAAGUCCAACCUAUCACCAAAAACCAGGAUGUUCCUAAAGGGGAGGCCUCUGUCACUGGGGUUGGUGCAGGUGUUUACAGGUUUGGUGGUCAUGACUCUGUGCACCAUCACGGUACUUGUGGACAUGCUGAAUGUUGAGACCGUAAUGUCCCUUGGACUUCCUUUUGUCAUCUCUGGGUCCAUGGCAAUUGCUGCACACAAGAGAUCCAGUCUUACUCUGAUCAAAGCCACGCUGGCCAUGAAUGUGAUCUGUGCUCUGCUGGCUGCUGCAGGAACCGGCUACUUCAGUUGGGAGCUCAGCAACAGACCAGGGGAGGAUCCUUGUAACGGCGGAGAAUACUGGUCAUGUUCGAGCAUGAUAUUGAAAUUUAAUAGUUUGAUAGAUGGAGUGAGGGGUCUCCUGCUGGUGCUGUGUUUUCUUGAACUGUGCGUGUGCAUCACUCUGUCCAUCUUUUCCGCCCGGGCCAUCCAACAGGAUGAAACCGACGUCGACCCUUACGGCAGUGACUCCAGUCUUCUGAAGGUUGGGGUGGAUUGUGACUCCAACCCCUGAACAGCCACACAGUUAUGGCCAAGGUUUAUCUAGUCAAAAGUUUAAUCAUCAUAUAGGCUAAGUGUAAUAACAUUUGCUUUAUAGAGUUCUUUCUUUUUGAUGGAAUUGUUCGAUAUAAUACAGAAUACCCAUUUCCCACUAGAUGAUUUGUAAUUUUUUGCAGUGUCAUCUGUUAUACACACUUUUGUAUGGUAAUGUUCUUUGGGACCUUUAGCACACUUCUUGCUGAUUUCAUGAAUAAAAUGCUCUAUAUUCUACAUGCUGCUGUUAUGUCAUCUGCUAAAGUCGGGAUGGAUUCUGAUUGGCUGUCAGUGUUUUUUAAGUUGGUGGAAAAAAAUAUUCUGAAAGUGAUUCUGACAAUAUUUCCUCAAUACUUUCUUAGUGUUGGGGAAAAAGGGCACAUUUAUUUCUAAAAAUAUAACUUGCUCUCCAAUACAGAUUCUAAAGAAAAAGCUUAAGCAUUCAUUUGUGGAAGCCCAUUUCAGCGGCAUAAGAAAAAUCAUGCUUUGAUAAAUAAAUGUAAAAUUAUCACAUACUUAUGACAAAACUCAAAAUUAUGACAAAAAGUUUAAAUUGAUAUAAAAAGUCCAAAAAUGUUGUAAUUGUGAUUAUGAAAAGUCAGAAUUAUGACAC
rnacentral:lncRNA from 1 species